AUUGAACGCUGGCGGCAUGCUUUACACAUGCAAGUCGAACGGCAGCGGGGGUGCUUGCACCUGCCGGCGAGUGGCGAACGGGUGAGUAAUGCAUCGGAACGUGUCCUUAAGUGGGGAAUAACGCAUCGAAAGAUGUGCUAAUACCGCGUAGUCUCUGAGGAGUAAAGCAGGGGAUCGAAAGACCUUGCGCUUAAGGAGCGGCCGAUGUCUGAUUAGCUAGUUGGUAGGGUAAAGGCCUACCAAGGCGACGAUCAGUAGUUGGUCUGAGAGGACGACCAACCACACUGGGACUGAGACACGGCCCAGACUCCUACGGGAGGCAGCAGUGGGGAAUUUUGGACAAUGGGCGCAAGCCUGAUCCAGCCAUGCCGCGUGAGUGAAGAAGGCCUUCGGGUUGUAAAGCUCUUUCAGUUGGGAAGAAACGAUUGCAACUAAUAAUUGUAAUUAAUG
rnacentral:rRNA from 1 species